UCUUAGCCCCGAUUGCAGCAUUUGUUUGAGCUCAUUUUUUUGUUUUCGGGUUCGGCGCGGCUUUGCCGCGCCGAACCCGAAAACAAAAAAAUAGCGAGUGCAGAAAGCGGGAUUAAAC
rnacentral:misc_RNA from 1 species